CUUUAGCAUACUAGCUAGCCUGCUGUAGUUCGUUUUUAGCUAGCAACAAAAUAUGAAGCUCUGUAGCGAUUAGCUUGAAUUAACUAAUCUCAUCAUCUCAACAUCGUUGCUGCUAAUCAAACUAAUUAUGACACAGCUUCCACAGCUAAUGAGGCUCAUUACACACACAGUAGGCUCACUGUCACAAUGACUGACGUGAACGUCGUUCAUGUGAUCACUAUCACACCUGCUCAAACAUGACAACAUGACAACAUGACAACGGCUGCUGCUGCUGCUGCUGCUGCUGCAGAACAAAAGGGUACACUGUGGCUGGGAAAACAUAACAGCACUGUCUCCUGCCUCACCACACGUGAGCUGGAUGUCGUCAGACGUGACCGGACACAUUGUUUAAGUCAUUCUCUUUGUCUUUUCAGAUCUCAGUGCGGAGGAAGCUCAUCAAACACUGCUGCGACUUUUAUAGUGUCCACGAUAGCAAUAAUCUAAUAAUCUAUAAGUGUCCACUCGUUAGAUUAGGCCCUCACAUUACCAUACGUCCACGAUAGCAAUAAUCUAAUAAUCUAUAAGUGUCCACUCGUUAGAUUAGGCCCUCACAUUACCAUACGUCCACGAUAGCAAUAAUAUCACAUGACCAUUCUGUGAUAAUCAAUAUACGAUCAUAUAGCGAUACAUCACCAUAUGUGAUGAAGAAACCAAACCUGCACGAGGAAGAGCAUUCACUCACCACCACAGUUCCUACAUGGGGUUUAUGUGUUCUUUAACCUCUGUGUUGUGGCGCACACGCGUGUUGUGGCGCACACGCGUGCUGUGAAAGAUUGUCAGACAGCUCAUGUAAAGUGUAUGGCUGCAUUACCGGUGAAGGGCCACUGGGUUUAGAGAGAUGUAUGGUGCAUUCCAAUAACACCUGGGAGUGAUGUGUUGAUCAUGAAUGAUCGUCGGAAAGAAAACUUUUAUCCAUGGAUUGAAAUGAAAGAGUACUUUGUGUACAACUCACUUAAUGUGAAACAAAUAAG